AUUGAACGCUGGCGGCAUGCCUUACACAUGCAAGUCGAACGGCAGCACGGGGGCAACCCUGGUGGCGAGUGGCGAACGGGUGAGUAAUACAUCGGAAUGUACCCAGUAGUGGGGGAUAACUAGUCGAAAGAUUAGCUAAUACCGCAUACGCACUAUGGUGAAAGCGGGGGAUCGCAAGACCUCGCGCUAUUGGAGCAGCCGAUGUCCGAUUAGGUAGUUGGUGGGGUAAAGGCCUACCAAGCCUGCGAUCGGUAACUGGUCUGAGAGGACGACCAGUCACACUGGGACUGAGACACGGCCCAGACUCCUACGGGAGGCAGCAGGUGGGGUAAUUUUGGACAAUGGGGGAAACCCUGAUCCAGCAAUGCCGCGUGUGUGACGAAGGCCUUCGGGUUGUAAAGCACUUUUGGCGGGAACGAAACGGCGCUUUCUAAUACAGAGCGCUAAUGACGGUACCCGCAGAAUAAGCACCGGCUAACUACGUG
rnacentral:rRNA from 1 species